GAUGAACGCUGGCGGCGUGCCUAAUACAUGCAAGUCGAGCGAACAGACGAGGAGCUUGCUCCUCUAACGUUAGCGGCGGACGGGUGAGUAACACGUGGAUAACCUACCUAUAAGACUGGGAUAACUUCGGGAAACCGGAGCUAAUACCGGAUAAUAUAUUGAACCGCAUGGUUCAAUAGUGAAAGACGGUUUUGCUAUCACUUAUAGAUGGAUCCGCGCCGCAUUAGCUAGUUGGUAAGGUAACAGCUUACCAAGGCAACGAUGCGUAGCCGACCUGAGAGGGUGAUCGGCCACACUGGAACUGAGACACGGUCCAGACUCCUACGGGAGGCAGCAGUAGGGAAUCUUCCGCAAUGAGCGAAAGCCUGACGGAGCAACGCCGCGUGAGUGAUGAAGGUCUUCGGAUCGUAAAACUCUGUUAUUAGGGAAGUACAAAUGUGUAAGUAACUAUGCACGUCUUGACGGUACCUAAUCAGAAAGCCACGGCUACUACGUGCCAGCCGCCGCCGUAA
rnacentral:rRNA from 1 species